GUGAGUCAUCGAGUCUUUGAACGCACCUUGCACUGUGUGGUAUUCCGCACAGUAUGUUUAUUCGAGUGUCGCGCACCUCUCAACCCCCUCUCGAUGUCAAAGUCGCGGAGCGCGGGCUUGGACCGUGGCUGCCUUUUGGUCGCUCGCGCCUUUGCGCGGGAGCGGCCCAGCCCAAAUGCACACCAAGCGGAUGUCCGUAUUCUCCAAGGACGCGGCUUGACCAAAUGUUGUAGUGUCAUUAGCACAUUUGGGACGCGUGUCUUGCGUAGUCGGCUCUGCGUCGGAACUGACGUACACCUAUUGUCAUCGACCUCGAAUUAAGCAGGACUACCCGCUGAACUUAA
rnacentral:rRNA from 1 species